NCCCCGAUAGCUCAGUCGGUAGAGCGCCGGACUGUUAAUCCGUAGGUCCCUGGUUCGAGCCCAGGUCGGGGAGCCA
rnacentral:tRNA from 1 species